ACUGUGGAGCUCUACGGCAUCUGGCAAAAACAGAAGCUUUGCGUAUCUGCUCCAGAGGGCUGCGGAUCGCCGGAGCUGGGAUGGAGUCAGAACGCAGCCGUACCGUAGUCAGUGAAAAUACACACAUUGACUUUAAUGGAAACCUAAUGACUCCGCCGCCGUUCCAGAGCGGAUCCGCAGACGUUCCGCAACUUGUGGAAAUUAGGACUUAACAUUUCACAUUGU